AAUCUGAUCUGCCUGCGUCUUCU
rnacentral:siRNA from 1 species